rnacentral:rRNA from 1 species
UACGUAGGGUGCGAGCGUUGUCCGGAAUUAUUGGGCGUAAAGAGCUCGUAGGCGGUCUGUCGCGUCGUUCGUGAAAACUUGGGGCUUAACCCUGAGCUUGCGGUCGAUACGGGCAUGACUGGAGUUCGGCAGGGGAGACUGGAAUUCCUGGUGUAGCGGUGAAAUGCGCAGAUAUCAGGAGGAACACCGGUGGCGAAGGCGGGUCUCUGGGCCGAUACUGACGCUGAGGAGCGAAAGCGUGGGGAGCAAACAGG